UUAGUAUAUUUCUUAAUAAAUGAUCAGUAAACAAAGAAAACAUCUUUUCACGCGUUUCCGUAAUAUUUGAAGUUCUAGGUCUGAUCACCAAUUCCCUUGGCCAGUUCACUUUUCUUUCUUCUUUCUGUCUCCCUGAACACACACUUCUUUACUACGAGGUCCCCUGUUCAAUUUCUUCUUUCCCUGGAAGAACACUUCUUUCUUCUUUUCCUCUUCCCGGUUUUAACGUUUCACCGUCUAGUCUCCUCCCCAGUUUUAGGGAUCUCCGACGGCUAGGGGUAGCCCAGACCGUAGAGGUAGAGAGAGGGAGUGGUGAAGAAGAAGGUAGAGGCCGGCGGCGGCGCCGGUCCGACCGCACCGCCGCGCGGUGGGUCGUGGAGGUGUGCGAGGUGUGGCGGCGGUAGGUAGUGGUGGUGAGGGGCGAAGUGGCACGGUGGUAGUGGUGGCGUGGUGACUCGUGGAGGCGCGCUCUCAAAGGAACGACGACGAGGAAGAAGGGAGCGGAACGACGACGAAGAUGACGAAGAAGAGGUUCGGGGCGACGACGAGGGAAGAACAACGCGGGGACGAGGAGGAAGAGGAGAGAGGUAGGGGUGCAACGACGACGAAGAAGAACGCUGAAGGACGAGGGAAGCGGAUGGAACGACGAGGGACAGAGAAGAGUCUUGGAAAACGACGAGGAGGAAGGGGGUGCUUGGACGACGACGAGGAAGGAGUUAGAGGAUGACGAAGAGAAGAAGAAGAUAGAACGGCGACGAAUAGAGAGAAAGACUUAAAAGACAUUAUCCUCUACACAUCAUGAACAUUCCAAGUCUAAAACUAUUCACAAACGUUGGUUGAUCAAACGAGUCAAGCAUGAACAAUUUAUAGUACAGGAUUUAAGAUACAAGACUUAUCACCUAAAGAACAACGAAACCCUUGAUUGAUUAUACGUUAUAAAACAAUGAAACCAUUAUACACAAGACAGUCGUAUAUACACACAAGUGGGACACAUAAAGAAGAGCGACAUGAUCAAUUAAAGAUGGUCAUUAAAAAUCAACAAUUUAUGACAACACAACAAGACACCCAUGAUUAGAACACCGAACCUUCUAAAGUAAAGACAACAGAGAACAAUUGGACUUGGCACCACAUCAUAGGACAAGCGUAUACACACCAAAACACACAAGACAUCAUGCACAUAAUCGAUACAUGGACACUAUAUAUUUACACACACACACACACACAAACUAAGCUAUGUUAAUAUAAAACAGUAUAUAAGAGCGAAGAAGGGAAACAAAUACAAACUAUCAUUACACAGGAACAGUACAAUACAAGUACAGGAAGGUGAAGAGAACAGUAACUACAUAUGAGCAUAAUCAUAAAAUUGAAGAGUUCGUAAUGCUUUUAUGGUUUUUCUGUUACUCAUUUUAGACUUAGAGGGAAAACGAAUAAAAGUAAAAGAAACAACAGCUGAAACCAAUCAAAUCCAGAUAUAAAGGAGCGUUAGUAGUAGACUUGAGACAGUGGAUCGAAAUCGGCUCGUAGUAACGGCAGCGGAUCAGGGACACCUCUUGUGCUGUGAGUGUCUUACCCCGUAAUUUUUGGGUGACAUGGAUGUUGACUAGUAAAACCGCGGCAACGGCCCCUGAUCGCAGUACGCUAACACAAUCCGAUAUCUGAUCCAAAAAGAAGAAAGAGAUCAAACACGGUAUGUAAACACUAUACAGAGAUUAGUGAUUGGGGACAAGAUCGAUCAUAGAAAAACAAAAGAAAAGGAAAACGUCCAAUCUCGAUAGAUGAACCAAUACCGUAUAAUAAGUCUAACAGAGCCUCUACGCUCCUUGUGAUGUUUGUCGUACCUUUCAUAAGUUCUUGACUAUUCAUUAUAAAGGGUAGCUAAUCUACUAAAUCGAGCCGUCGCUCUUCAUCAAAAACUCCUAUCCGGAUCGAGAAUACUAGGAAUAAGAUCUCCAGUAGGAAUACAACGAGGAUGUACGGUAUAAACAUCUAAAGUCCCGGUAAGUGGGCGGCUUACAGUCGCACCAAUGAGAGUGCGAGGGCUAACAAUACCGUACUCGAAGCGGGGUGUCGGUUCGAGUAUGGUUUUGUUAAUGAGUGUACCCACCGGACUUUUGGUCUUAUACAGUAUAUCCUCGUUGUUGGGACUCUAGAGUAGCAAACGGAGAUCAAUAGGUUACGUCCCUAAAUCCAUGUUACUCCUCUCGGUGUUGAUACGUGGUGUUGUUAAAAUAAGUGGAGGAUGAGUAUACGGAGUCGUGGUCCUCUACAACGGUUACCUCAAUUUACCAGGAGGUAAACCAGUUGGUUGUUAAGGUCGUGGAUAGCACGUUAGAGUACACGUUCACGGGUGUGUUCUACUCAAGCUACUGUAUCUGUUCGAGUGUGAAAACUCAGAGCUCAAGUGAACCUCACGGCUCCUACUAGGUUAAUCCGGCCACUAUGAUCUCCUUUACUUCUUCUAGUUCUCACCUUUUCUCGAUCACCUUCUUCAUUCCUUUUAAGUCUUCUUGUAGUUACGACCUUCAUGAUAGAGGAGGGAGGAACUGACUCAGAACGGCUCUAAGGGGAAGUAUGUACACUCCAAGGUUGUGGCAGUGUGGGUCGACUCGUUCUAUCGCUCUCAGGUCUCUUUCUCUCUGGAGUCUAACUUCUACUUAAUCUUCUGUUCCUUGUUCUACUAGUUCUCGACGUUAAGGGUUCACUAGUUCUACUUCUAGACGAUGGAUAGUGAGUACUUCUUCAUUUUCUUCGACUACAUCAACUUCUACUUCUUGGACUCUAAGUAAAAGGAUAACAGUAUGUUCUCGUACUAUAUCAUCCAAAUAGAUUAGGAGAGCUACUGUACGCAGGUAUACUUAACAAACGAUGAUGGAACGUAACGUACUACAAUAGACAAUUUCAUCUAAACUUCUUCACAAACGAACCUAUACUACUAUGUAUAUGACAACCACCGUAACGAGUAUAAUUACUACUAGUGUGAAUAAAAGGAGUACGGUUUGGAUACGAAUUACUAUUUAUAGUAGGAGUACAAUCAUAACUCGAACUACUAAGGAUAGUAUGAGCGGUACAAGAAAUAUCGAUACGAAUACAUUAACCCAUGAGAUAACUACUAAAUCUCCCGUAAUGGGGAAAGUGAACAUACCAGAGAAAACAGCUCACGAGAAAGUCCAAAAACGAUGACGUGGCAAGUGAUGUACGACUGGUCCAAGCUCCACUGUAAGGAACCCUGGGACUACCUAAAUCUCGUACCACUUCUCCUCUUCGUUACCCGUGUAUGUUCCUUCUCUUUUCGACCUCGUACGUGCUCCUAUCUCUUCGUUUUCCUCUCCUCAGUGCUACGUUCUCCUACACUCUACUAGCUCGCUCAAGAUGAAGUAUUUCGGGCCACUCGACAAAGUACUGGGGUUAGACUUAUAUAGUAGAUAACUAUGUUCGACUUUAGUUAACGAUCAACCCAACGAACUCGGUAAAGAAUUUAUAGCAGGGUGACUUAAAAUGGAAGCUGUAUCCCACUAACUACACUUAUACACUUGACUCACAACUUACGGAACAUUUGAUCACUAGAUAUGUUACGAACGAAACGACUUUCAUCACCUUCGAUAAUCAAAACUCACGAGUUUAGGGAUCACGUGAUCUUUUGAAUUAGUAAAAAACGUAAAUGAUACUAUGUGGAUCUAGUGGUACAAAUCUACGACUUAAACACGAUUCACACAAGGGUAACUCUCGUUAGUGGAUUGGUGAUACCUAAUCGUACGAUACAAGGGACCUAGCCAUCGUACACUUGGUCUGUACCUCUUCACUACUAAGGACAAAAACACGAAUACGCAACAAGUAAAUUCUAUCGAUUAUUACUUAUUUAUUCAGACCAGAUGGAUGUCAUCGUACAGUACAAGGGAUCUAGCCACCGUACACUUUAGACCAUCGAACCUGUCAUUAUUUAUUUAUUUUUACAUUAACAGCUUGGUCCACAUAUGGUACAAGAGCCCUAGCCACCAUAUAAGGAAACCCCUCUUUUUGUUUUUUUUGAUUACUAACCAGCUCGGUCCACAUAUGGUACAAGAGCCCUAGCCACCAUACAAGGAAACCAUUCUGACUAUUUUAUAAUAGUAAUGAAAGAAGUUUAAGUUAUUCACCAAGUUGGUGUUUUAAAAUAAAGACGUUUAUUCUCUAAAUUAAGGUCAAGAAAAACAAGAGCCCUAGUACGAGAGAAAUCCUUGGUAAACCGCAUCAGUAGUAAAUUUGAACAACUAGGAGAAAAUAGUAACAUUUUACCAGUACGAAUGAUCAUAGGAUGAGGAAACAUCGUGAGAAUUGGUAGUUAAAAGUGAUCGAUUCAGGUUUCGUACGUAACAAACCUCUAGAUAAAAUGGUCCUGUAGGAAAUGAGUCGAGUGACAAGUAUAAGAACGAGAACAGUAGAUGGAAACAAACUCCUGUUCGUUUCUAAAUUCACACCCCCUUGAACUAGUUGUGUAAAGUGUAUGUAGAAGACCGUUAGUUUAUACACCAAAUAACUCAAAAUAAGUAAGUAAAGAACGAUACUUAACAACUUAAACACUUACUAUUAGUAUAUUUCUUAGUAAAUGAUCAGUAAACAAAGAAAACAUCUUUUCACGCGUUUCCGUGAUAUUUGAAGUUCUAGGUCUGAUCACCAAUUCCCUUGGCCAGUUCACUUUUCUUUCUUCUUUCUGUCUCCCUGAACACACACUUCUUUACUACGAGGUCCCCUGUUCAAUUUCUUCUUUCCCUGGAAGAACACUUCUUUCUUCUUUUCCUCUUCCCGGUUUUAACGUUUCACCGUCUAGUCUCCUCCCCAGUUUUAGGGAUCUCCGACGGCUAGGGGUAGCCCAGACCGUAGAGGUAGAGAGAGGGAGUGGUGAAGAAGAAGGUAGAGGCCGGCGGCGGCGCCGGUCCGACCGCACCGCCGCGCGGUGGGUCGUGGAGGUGUGCGAGGUGUGGCGGCGGUAGGUAGUGGUGGUGAGGGGCGAAGUGGCACGGUGGUAGUGGUGGCGUGGUGACUCGUGGAGGCGCGCUCUCAAAGGAACGACGACGAGGAAGAAGGGAGCGGAACGACAACGAAGAUGACGAAGAAGAGGUUCGGGGCGACGACGAGGGAAGAACAACGCGGGGACGAGGAGGAAGAGGAGAGAUGUAGGGGCGCAACGACGACGAAGAAGAACGCUGAAGGACGAGGGAAGUGGAUGGAAUGACGAAGGACAUAGAAGAGUCUUGGAAAACGACGAGGAGGAAGGGGGUGCUUGAACGACGACGAGGAAGGAGUUAGAGGAUGACGAAGAGAAGAAGAAGAUAGAACAGCGACGAAUAGAGAGAAAGACUUAAAAGACAUUAUCCUCUACACAUCAUGAACAUUCCAAGUCUAAAACAAUUCACAAACGUUGGUUGAUCAAACGAGUCAAGCAUGAACAAUUUAUAGUACAGUAUUUAAGAUACAAGACUUAUCACCUAAAGAACAACGAAACCCUUGAUUGAUUAUACGUUAUAAAACAAUGAAAGCAUUAUGCACAAGACAGUCGUAUAUACACACAAGU
rnacentral:rRNA from 1 species